rnacentral:rRNA from 1 species
AGAGUUUGAUCCUGGCUCAGAUUGAACGCUGGCGGCAUGCUUAAUACAUGCAAGUCGAACGGUAACAGAUUCUUCGGAAUGCUGACGAGUGGCGGACGGGUGAGUAAUACAUAGGAAUCUGCCCAUGUAGUGGGGGACAACUUGGGGAAACUCAAGCUAAUACCGCAUAAUUCCUACGGGAUAAAGAGGGCCACUGCUUGCAAGCUCUUGCUACUGGAUGAGCCUAUGUCGGAUUAGUUAGUUGGUAAGGUAAUGGCUUACCAAGACAGCGAUCCGUAGCUGGUUUGAGAGGAUGAUCAGCCACACUGGGACUGAGACACGGCCCAGACUCCUACGGGAGGCAGCAGUAGGGAGUAUUGGACAAUGGGCGCAAGCCUGAUCCAGCAAUGCCGCGUGUGUGAAGAAGGCCUGCGGGUUGUAAAGCACUUUCAAUUGGGAAGAAAGAUUAUGAGUUAAUACCUUAUAAUAUUGACGUUACCAAUACAAGAAGCACCGGCUAACUCUGUGCCAGCAGCCGCGGUAAUACAGAGGGUGCGAGCGUUAAUCGGAAUUACUGGGCGUAAAGAGUACGUAGGUGGUUAAAUCAGUCGGAUGUGAAAGCCCCAGGCUUAA